rnacentral:lncRNA from 1 species
AGGUGGUGAUUAAUGGAGGUGAUGGUAGCUCUCUUGGUCAAUGUGUGUGGAUAUUGUUGAUGUGGUCGGAAGAGUUGUGGACGGGGUUCUCGUAGUCAGUGGUUGUGUUGAUGUUGUUGAUGUGACCGGAAGAGUUGUGGAUGGAGCUCUCGGUGGUGGAUACGAAAGUGGUAAUAGAGGGAGAGGAGAUACUGGAGGUGGUGAUUAAUGUAAGCGAUGGUAGCUCGCUUGGUCAAUGUGUGUGUGGAUGUUGUUGAUGUGGUCGGAAGAGUGUGGACGGGGAUCUCAUGGUUGUGUGUGUGGAUGUUGUUGAUGUGGUCGGAAGAGUUGUGGACGAGGAUUUCAUGGUCAGUGGUGCUGUUGAUGUUGUUGAUGUGACCGGAAGAGUUGCAGAUGGAGCUCUCGGUGAUGGAUACGAAAAUGGUAAGAGAGAUGGAAGAGAUAGUGGAAGUAGUGAUUCAAACGGAGGUGGUAAUUAAAACGAAAGUGGUAACAGAGGUGGAGGAGAUAGUGGAGGAAGUGGCAAUGGCAGAUAUGAAGAUGAUGAUGGAAGUGGUGAUUGAAGGGGGGAUAGUGAUAAUGAA